GCUCAAAUUCUUCUGUGUUGCUCAAAUUCAGAUUAUGGACUAUUAAUUUUGAAUGUUGCUAUGAUUCAUAUUUUAAUAAUAACUUACGAUCUAUUUAUUUGCCAAUUUAAAGUAUGUGAUAUUUGGAAAUAAUUGGCUAAAUAAGAGCAAAAUCAGUUACGUUGAAUGGAUUGCAGGCAGAAGGAAUCAAUGGUUGUUUAUAUAUUAUAUUCUCUCCAUCAGACUUAUCAUCCUUGUGGGUUUUGUUUCUCAAUAUUUGGAUUUGGGACUAAUGAUAUUUGAAAUUGUUUGGUGCUUGAUUUCUUUCAAUUCUAUUUUGCCGCAAACAUGUGAAAUAUUAUUCUUUUGAGCAAUUAUGGCAAUUUUACAAUUAACAU
rnacentral:lncRNA from 1 species